rnacentral:misc_RNA from 1 species
UAGAAUCCUUAGAUCAAUCAUUUAUCUUAUGCUGAUGAUACUAUACUUUUAUGUUCGGGUGAGAGAACAUCAAUCAUAAAGAUGAUGUGGGUAUUGAAGGAAUAUGAGCAAGUAUCAAGGCAAAUGAUCAAUAAGAAGGGUUCUUCUACCUCCAUCAAUUGUGGUGACAGCUAGAUUGAGAAGAUUGACAAGUAUAAAUCAUGGGUCAUUCCCUUUUACAUAUCUAAGAUGCCCAGUUUUCUAUGGUAGGAAGAAUAAGAAUCAUUAUAAAGAGCUCUUAACAACAAUAUCUAAAAGAAUGUUGUGUUUGCAAAACAAGUUCCUAUCUUUUCGAGGAACGCUUAUACUAAUUUCUAAUGAGUUACAAUCAAUAGCGGUGAAUCUAUUAUCAACUAUGAAUCCUCCUAAAAGGAUUAUUGAUCAACUCCACCAACUUUUUGCUAGG